GUAAGUCUACAACCCGCAUCCCUUUCAUUCUGAAUCGUUACUAACAACCUCAUAGGUAGGUGAACCUGCGGAAGGAUCAUUACCGAGAUAGGGUCCUCUGGGCCCGAACCUCCCACCCAUUGUUUACUUACCUUUGUUGCUUUGGCGGGCCGUGGGGCGUCAGCCCCCCGUCGACUUCGGUGGACGAGCGCCCGUCAGAAGCCCCAAUUCAAAUUCUGUUAAUUAGUGAAGUCCGAGUCUUAAUAAAUAAGCAAAACUUUCAACAACGGAUCUCUUGGUUCUG
rnacentral:misc_RNA from 1 species